GGAACAUGGUCAUCUUCAACUUCAACAUAUUGCAGAUGCUGUCCAUGACCAGGAAGGAAAUUUGGGCCACGCCGAGGGUACCGGCCUUGAAGUCCCAGGGUUAUUCAAGGUUUACCUGAACAGCAUUGACCUUCAUCAAAAAGCGUGUGGUCUCCAUGAAGAUACUGCUGGGUUUGGGGGAAACUCCAUGAAAGGCUGGGGAAGCCAGAACUGAUGUUGACGUAUGACCUUUUGAACCUGAAAAAAGCCAUAUGAGAAGAGAAAGGGAAAGGAGAGGAGAGACCUGAGAAGCAGACAAGUGAGAAUAAAGCAGAGACUGUCCAUGAGAGAGGGCACUAGAGAAACUGAGAACUUCCAGGCAGAAGACUCCUUUAAAUACUGAUUCUUAAAGUCCUAAAUCCUGACCAGUCAAAAAUUCUUUUGUGUGUGACUUCAUACUUUUAAGUUUAAUCUGCAAGAACAUUUUCUUAAGUACUUCCUUGAGUCUCCACAACAAGAAAACAAUAAAUCAGGUCUUGGUUUGUG